CGCUUCGGUCCGGAGUCAGUGGGUUACCUAUCAGAGAAUCCCCCAUCGACAUCCACUUGACCGGCAU
rnacentral:sRNA from 1 species